AUACUGCUGCGCUGCAUUCUGAUCUGCUCUUAUUCCUCUUUUCUGAUCUGUACUGAUGCUUACUGAUAUUCAUCGAUGUUUUACUGAUCUGCACGGCUGCUGCAUACUUCUCUGCAUGCUGAUCUACACGGGUGCUUCAUCAUUAAGGUGGUUAAGUAUUAAGGCUAUGCUUUCGGGAGUACGAAGUAUUGUAGAGGCUGUUGUUGAAUUGCUAAAGGAUAUAUUUCCUCUUUCUAUUGACAAUACAAGAAACUGGCAAUAGGCAAUCAAAUAUGAUUCUCACAAAAAUCCUGAAGGUGGAAAAGAUUUUUCACAGUCAAGAAAGCUUAUGAACGCUUCCAGCGUGCAGGUAUUCAAUAAUCAAAGGGAGCGGCCUUUCACCUUUUAGGAGAUAGAUGAAGUUCGAGAAAUGUUAGCAAACUUCAUUACCAGUUAUUGUCUUUGAUAUUUUCUUGUACUGAAUCUUAAAUUAUGGAUGCUAG